UGAGCAAUCUGCCCUUCUCUUCGGAAUAAGCGUUGGAAACGACGUCUAAUGCCGAAUACGACCUCCUUUCGCAUGAUCGGAGGUGGAAAGCUCCGGCGGAGAAGGAUGAGCUCGCGGCCUAUCAGCUAGUUGGUGUGGGUAAUGGCCCACCAAGGCGACGACGGGUAGCCGGCCUGAGAGGGUGACCGGCCACACGUGGGACUGAGACACGGCCCAGACCUCCGUACGGGGAGCAGC
rnacentral:rRNA from 1 species